rnacentral:lncRNA from 1 species
GCUUUCUGUGGGAAACAGCUGCAUGGCACAUGAAGAAUGGACACAUUUACUCCUUCUAAAGGACACACUUACUCGUUCUGGGAGCAAUGUGGUGUAAUGACAUGCCUGGCACCGUACCUGGCCCAGAGCAGGCUCUCAGUACCUCCCUAACUCUUUGGACAAAUGACAUGAUUGUCCUCUCCAGACCUCUUGCUCGUUGUGUGUAAAAUGUGGGGAGGGACCCCUCAUGUUCUAAUGGAGAGACCUGGUUUCAAGCUUCAACCUCACUUCGGGAUCCCAGACAGCUGAUCUCCGACACGACGCGGUGGAAGAGAAGAGCCAGAAGGUCCCGGGUGGGCAAGCCAACUCAAGCCAGCUCUAGAAUGUCCGUUCCUCAGCAAGCUCCUUGCAGGAGGUUUGCUUCUUCUGGAGCCGAGAUGCCAAGGUCAAUAUUAUACCCUUUGAGGAUCUAUUUGCGUUGUUAACAUCAGAGGGAGCAUCGCCUCUUAGGAAAACAGAUGGUGGGACCAGCUGCCUGGCUCAAAUCCCAGCUCCACUCUCCUGUGUCCUUAGCAGGGGGAAUUACUUCUCUCUGCUUCGGUCUCCUCAUCCGAAAAAU